rnacentral:miRNA from 1 species
UUAUACCUCAUCGAUCGGAAGGGAUUCCUUCCGGUCGAUGAGGUAUAACAUCCUCAUUGACAGAAGGAAUCCCUUCCAAUCAAUGAGGUAUAA